GCAAAGUCAUCCCCCAGCCCAAAACAGUUGUUUGUCAAGGUCAAUAACAAAGUCCCCCCAGUCCAAAAUGUUAUUUGUCAAGGUCACUAACAAAGUCAUCCCCUCCCAGCCCCAAACAGUUAUUUGUCAAGGUCACUAACAAAGUCCCUCCCAGCCCAAAAUGUUUAUUUGUCAAGAUCACUAACAAUGUCCCCCCACUUCAAAAUAAGUAUUUGUCAAGGUCACUAAUAAAGUCCCCCUAGCCCCAAACAGUUGUUUUUCAAGGUCAAUAGCAAAAUCAUCUCCAAUCCAAAACAGUUAUUUAUCAAGGUCACUAGCAAAGUCACCCCCAGCCCAAAACAGUUGUUUGUCAAGGUCAAUAACAAAGUCCCCCCCAGUCCAAAAUGUUAUUUGUCAAGGUCACUAACAAAGUCAUCCCCUCCCAGCCCCAAACAGUUGUUUUUCAAGGUCACUAACAAAGUUCCCCCCAGCCCAAAACAGUUGUUUGUCAAGGUCACUAACAAAGUCCCCUCCCCCCAGCCCAAAAUAGUUAUUUGUCAAGGUCACUAACAAAGUCCCUCCCAGCCCAAAAUGUUUAUUUGUCAAGGUCACUAACAAUGUCCCCCCAGUUCAAAAUAAGUAUUUGUCAAGGUCACUAAUAAAGUCCCCCUAGCCCCAAACAGUUGUUUUUCAAGGUCAAUAGCAAAAUCAUCUCCAAUCCAAAACAGUUAUUUAUCAAGGUCACUAGCAAAGUCACCCCCAGCCCAAAACAGUUGUUUGUCAAGGUCGAUAACAAAGUCCCCCCAGUCCAAAAUGUUAUUUGUCAAGGUCACUAACAAUGUCCCCCCAGUUCAAAAUAAGUAUUUGUCAAGGUCACUAAUAAAGUCCUCCCAGCCCAAAACAGUUGUUUGUCAAGGUCAAUAACAAAGUCCCCCCCAGUCCAAAAUGUUUAUUUGUCAAGGUCACUAACAAAGUCGUUCCCCCCCAGCCCCAAACAGUUGUUUUUCAAGGUCACUAACAAAAUCCCCCCAGUCCAAAACAAGUAUUUGUCAAGGUCAAUAGCAAAGUCCCCCCCAGCCCGAAAUGAUUAUUUGUCCAGGUCACAGGCCAUGCAGGCUGGGCGGGCCAGAGGGCACCUCAGAAUGCUGCCGGCCAGUCCGGGGCUCCUGCUACCAUCAUGCUUCACUUUGGGAAGUGAAAGGGUUUCAUUGCUGAUGUUUCGGGAUUCGGAGGCACGAGAGGGUCCCGGGGAAAGGGCUCGGGGAGCCAGCUUGGCUGCGGCCCCCUCUCCUUCCUCUCCAAUCUCAGGGACCCGCCCCUUUGGAAGGAUGGCUCUGCUGCUGGCCAGUGGGCACCCUCUGGUGGAAGAAAUGCUGAACGUCUCCCCAUCCCCGCCUUCCAUCCCGUUCCCCCCUCCCUCAGUCUCCCUCUCCCCAUU